CUCUAUCUCAGGCAUAACCCUACGAAAGUGGGGAUAAUUCCUGAUAGUCAUGGGGGGACACAAGUCGUUCCCAUGUAAAACUCCGGUGGAUAGAGAGGAGCCUAUGGCCUAUCAGCUUGUUGGUGAGGUAAAAGCUCACCAAGGCAACGACAGGUAGCGGGUGUGAGAGCAUGGCCCGUCUCACUGGGACUGAGAACUACCCAGACUCCUACGGGAGGCUGCAGUCAAGAAUCUUCCUCAAUGGACGAAAGUCUGAAGGAGCAAUGCCGCGUGAUCGAUGAAGCCCCUCGGGGUGUAAAGAUCUUUUAUCAGGGACGAAUCCGUGACGGUACCUGAAGAA
rnacentral:rRNA from 1 species